rnacentral:lncRNA from 1 species
UUCAGAUAUUUAAUCAAUUCCGGUUCGGAUUUAGUACUACUUAUUCGGAUUGGGAUUGGUUCAAUUUUUCGAGUUCGAGUUUUUUGCCCAACCCUAAAUAGUGACAUAAAAAGCAAAUAGCAUCAUAUUUUUUUUUAAAAUACACCCGCACGGGCGUGCGGGUCAAAAUCUAGUUAACUAUUAAGACCAUAAACGCUCAUUUAGCUUAGGUGUGAGUUUAUCAUUAAUAGUAGUGAUGACCUAAUGUAAUCGUGUGUGGUUCGGUAUAUAAUACACCGACGACUAUAUACUGCGAACGCGUCUACAUUGAAACUAUUUUAAUUUAUUUAUUUUGUUAUUUUCAAGACUGAUUGGGUACAACCACUCAAUGCUCACCGCCUGGUGUAAUUCAUAUACUGUAACAAAAUAAGUGUUAUUAAGCUCCCAGACUCUGUCAGACUGGGAGCUAAAGAUUAAAACGGAACCAUGAACCUUUGGCUCUCAGACACUGUCAGAUUUAGAGAUACUUGUAACUGUGAAGGGUGGUCCUAAGCCACACAUGCAACUACCUCACUUAACCCCGAAAACUUAUCGGAUUACGUUCAUUGACUCCAUGACAUGUGAAGGGAGGGUGUCCAAUUCGCAUGUCACUAUGACACGCAUCCACUACACAUAAGAGCACCAUUAACCCCACUUCUUAAGUUGGUUCUUAGGAGGUGGGUCCCACAACUUUAUUAAAAACCACUUCUUCUUUCUCUUCUGCAAGAGGCAAGUUUGGUAGAUUCUUAUGGUAUUUGCGGGCCCCACUGACACGUGGUGGCUCGCGACUGAUUAUUAAAAAAAAAAAAAAGUUAAGAACCUCAAAUGUAGGUUUUAGGGUUAAUGGUGCUCUAACAUUCUCAAUUCACGUCUCUGUACAUAAAACUCAUUUAUGUAAUACUUCAGAGUAUCAUCUCUUUGUGGUUAAUCAUGCUUACGUUAAUGUGUUUUAAUGUUUUGUUUAUGCAUUAUUGGUAAUAUUUCAAAGAAAAUAUUAAAAUUUCAUUUUUUUAAAAAAAAUAUUUUGUAUUAUAUUAUAAUUUAUAAUACAAACAUAAGAUUUGAAAUGAUAAUUACAAACACAACUAAUGUUACGUAAUCCAAUUGUAAAUGCAAC